rnacentral:rRNA from 1 species
GACGAACGCUGGCGGCGUGCUUAACACAUGCAAGUCGAACGGAAAGGCCCUGCUUUUGUGGGGUGCUCGAGUGGCGAACGGGUGAGUAACACGUGAGUAACCUGCCCUUGACUUUGGGAUAACUUCAGGAAACUGGGGCUAAUACCGGAUAGGAGCUCCUGCUGCAUGGUGGGGGUUGGAAAGUUUCGGCGGUUGGGGAUGGACUCGGGGCUUAUCAGCUUGUUGGUGGGGUAGUGGCUUACCAAGGCUUUGACGGGUAGCCGGCCUGAGAGGGUGACCGGCCACAUUGUGACUGAGAUACGGCCCAGACUCCUACGGGAGGCAGCAGUGGGGAAUAUUGCACAAUGGGCGGAAGCCUGAUGCAGCAACGCCGCGUGCGGGAUGACGGCCUUCGGGUUGUAAACCGCUUUCGCCUGUGACGAAGCGUGAGUGACGGUAAUGGGUAAAGAAGCACCGGCUAACUACGUG